GCAGUGGAGGUUUAGUGGUAGAAUUCUCACCUUCCAUGAGGGAGACCUUGGUUCAAUUCUUGGCCAGUGCG
rnacentral:tRNA from 1 species